rfam:Ciona savignyi cont_36889, whole genome shotgun sequence.
GCCCGGCUAGCUCAGUCGGUAGAGCGCUGGACCCUUAAUCCAACGGUCGUGGGUUCGAGCCGCACGUUGGGCG